GAUGAACGCUAGCUACAGGCUUAACACAUGCAAGUCGAGGGGCAGCACAGUGUAGCAAUACACGGGUGGCGACCGGCGCACGGGUGCGUAACGCGUAUCCAACCUUCCCGAUACUCUUGGAUAGCCUUCCGAAAGGGAGAUUAAUACAAGAUGGUGUUUCACUUUCGCAUGUUAUUGAAACUAAAGAUUUAUCGGUAUCGGAUGGGGAUGCGUGACAUUAGAUAGUAGGCGGGGUAACGGCCCACCUAGCCUUCGAUCAUUAGGGGUUCUGAGAGGAAGGUCCCCCACACUGGAACUGAGACACGGUCCAGACUCCUACGGGAGGCAGCAGUGGGGAAUAUUGGGCAAUGGACGAAAGUCUGACCCAGCGACGCCGCGUGAGGGAAGAAGGUCUUCGGAUUGUAAGCCUCUGUUGUAAGGGAAGAAGAAAGUGACGGUACCUUACGAGGAAGCCACGGCUAACUACGUG
rnacentral:rRNA from 1 species